rnacentral:lncRNA from 1 species
UAACAACGACCACUCUUCCCGUCGUUAAUGAUACAAAUAUUGCAUUUCAUCAUAAUUUAUUUUUGACCAUUUAUUAUUUUUAACCAUGCACAUAAUUACUUUGCAUACACAAUAAUAUAAAUACAUACACACACGCACACAUAUAUAUAAACAAACUUACAUCAAAUCCACAAUUUGUAAACAUGUAAUAAAACUUCAUUAACAAUAAAAGUACUUAGCAUCCAUAAUAUUCAUACUUUUCUCCAAAACAUUCAUCUAGUAGAUAUAGUUUCCAUCACAACAUAGUUUUCAUCACACCAUUACAUAUAUAGUCAACAUUUACUAAAAAAAAAAAAUAAAGUACUGAAAUCAACAACUAUCACCAU